rnacentral:rRNA from 1 species
AGUGAACGCUGGCGGUAGGCCUAACACAUGCAAGUCGAACGGCAGCACAGGAGAGCUUGCUCUCUGGGUGGCGAGUGGCGGACGGGUGAGGAAUACAUCGGAAUCUACUCUGUCGUGGGGGAUAACGUAGGGAAACUUACGCUAAUACCGCAUACGACCUACGGGUGAAAGCAGGGGAUCUUCGGACCUUGCGCGAUUGAAUGAGCCGAUAUCGGAUUAGCUAGUUGGCGGGGUAAGGGCCCACCAAGGCGACGAUCCGUAGCUGGUCUGAGAGGCGAGUCAGCCACACUGGAACUGAGACACGGUCCAGACUCCUACGGGAGGCAGCAGUGGGGAAUAUUGGACAAUGGGCGCAAGCCUGAUCCAGCCAUACCGCGUGGGUGAAGAAGGCCUUCGGGUUGUAAAGCCCUUUUGUUGGGAAAGAAAUCCAGCUGGCUAAUACCCGGUUGGGAUGACGGUACCCAAAGAAUAAGCACCGGCUAACUUCGUGCCAGCCGCCGCGGUAA